rnacentral:tRNA from 1 species
UGGGAUGUAGAUUAGUGGUAGAGCAUUUGCGUAGCAUGCUCAAGGCCUGGGUUUAAUCCCCAGCACCACAC